UACGGGGGGAGCAAGCGUUGUUCGGAUUUACUGGGCGUAAAGGGCGCGUAGGCGGUCAGCACAAGUCAGUUGUGAAAUCUCCGGGCUUAACUCGGAAAGGUCAACUGAUACUGUGCGACUAGAGUGCAGAAGGGGCAACUGGGAAUUCUCGGUGUAGCGGUGAAAUGCGUAGAUAUCGAGAGGAACACCUGCGGCGAAGGCGGCUCUCUGGGACGGUACUGACGCUGAGACGCGAAAGCGUGGGGAGCGAACAGG
rnacentral:rRNA from 1 species